rnacentral:rRNA from 1 species
UACGUAGGGGGCAAGCGUUAUCCGGAUUUACUGGGUGUAAAGGGAGCGUAGACGGCAGGGCAAGUCUGGAGUGAAAGGCAGGGGCCCAACCCCUGGACUGCUCUGGAAACUGUCCGGCUGGAGUGCAGGAGAGGUAAGUGGAAUUCCUAGUGUAGUGGUGAAAUGCGUAGAUAUUAGGAGGAACACCAGUGGCGAAGGCGGCUUACUGGACUGUAACUGACGUUGAGGCUCGAAAGCGUGGGGAGCAAACAGG